UUUGCAAUUGAUUUUUUUGCUCUUAAAACCAAGGCUUCAGUACCAAUUGGACUGGCCUUUUCAGUAUUUCCUGUUGAAAAUGUCAGUUAAAGCUGUUUGUUGCAUUUUUAAUUGAUUUAUGUUAAUACAGUGACUAAAUGCAGAAUGGGACUAACAUUUAGGUGUUAGUCUACUAGAAAACAUUCAAGGCUCCGUGUUUACUAUGUUUUGCAGGCACAGUAGUGAAAGAGUGAUUAAUUCAUUUGCUUGGUGAACUAAAUAUGGACAAAUGGCUGAAUUCUGCUGGAAAUGAGAGUAACGCCCUCUGGAUAAAGAAGGCAAUGCUGUGGACCUUCAGCAUCACCCAUCUGGGAUCACAACUUGAUUCCUGCUGCUGUUCUUCCUCGUGUGAGCUUUGUUCUUCAGAAGCUCAAAGUGCAACUGUAGAAUUAGCGAUUUUAAUAAGUGAUGAGUACCCUUCUCAACCCUGUGCUGAGGAAACGUGGACUAAACACUGAGGCUUUUGAAGCUGUAGGUACUAUUACCCUGGAGGAGGCUUGGUGCUAUUGUGGAGUACAAGGGACAUUCUGUCAUUUCUUCUGGCAUAAGGGAAGGAAAGACCAAUUUUAACUAUAAAUGUUUACUUGCCUCUCUGUGGUCCAUGUGUGAGAAUGGAGUAAGUGACACUGUGGCGGUUCUGAGCAGCGAGCACUGGCUGAAGGAUGGGAAAUUAGACCAUGAAUUUCACUUUUUAUAGUAUGGAUGGACUUUGUGAAGUGAUGAUUUUGCUUUCAAUGCUUUUUAUUUCUGGUGAGUGCCAGGGUACAGUAUGACCAAAAAGAGAUGUUGCUGCUUUGGGAAUUAACUUUCACUUUUGUGUGUAACUUCCAGCCCUACGAGCCAGCACUUAGGUUCACGGAGGUUCAGAUCCUGGGCUGAGACCCACAUGUAGGGAGCAGUUCAGGUAUUGUGGAAAAGACAAAACAAAUUUAUUUUCUCCCUUUCCACACGGCACAUUACAGAACUACAGCACUGCAGAAGGGAGAAAUAGACAUACUACUGCUAAUAAUUAUGUGAAAUAACAACAAAUACCCACAGAUCUUGGGGCAGGAUGGGGUGAUUAAUAUCACCAGUACUGAAUCUGAUUUGCAUGUACAUCACAAAACCCUACAUAAAAACACAAGAGAUUUAUCCUGUAGUUCAUUAAACAUGGAUAUUCAAUAAAUUUAAUGACUUAAUCUUGAGUGCAGGAAUUUGUCCUUAGACAAAUUAGACAGCUAGCUUAUCCUUAUUUGCUCACUUCCCCCCCCCCUCCUCAUUAUAAGAGUAAGGUGCUUCUAGAACGUGGUUAGCCCAGGGGCGAUCGUCACCUUAGUUGGGUGCUCUGCUGUCCCACACUGACAUUUUCCUAAUCUUACGUUGACUUCUUAUGACGCUUUGUCCAGUUUGCCCAAAUCAGGGAAGUUUUGCCAUGUGUUACAGCUGGAGAGCCGUACGUUUCAGCAUUCCUGACUGACAGCUCACAAAGCAAGGUGGAAGUCAUUGCAAAGGCCCUGGGGAGUGGGAUGCUGAGGCAGGAUGCUGCAGCAACGCUCACAGACACUUCAGUGGCAAGUCAGGUUGUCUGCCUCCUAAUCCUGCCAGAGCCACUUCUCAGAGCAGA